GACGAACGCUGGCGGCGUGCUUAACACAUGCAAGUCGAACGGAAAGGCGCUGCUUUUGUGGGGUGCUCGAGUGGCGAACGGGUGAGUAACACGUGAGUAACCUGCCCCUGACUUUGGGAUAACUUCAGGAAACUGGGGCUAAUACCGGAUAGGAGCUCCUGCUGCAUGGUGGGGGUUGGAAAGUUUCGGCUGUUGGGGAUGGACUCGCGGCUUAUCAGCUUGUUGGUGGGGUAGUGGCUUACCAAGGCUUUGACGGGUAGCCGGCCUGAGAGGGUGACCGGCCACAUUGGGACUGAGAUACGGCCCAGACUCCUGCGGGAGGCAGCGGUGGAGAAUGUUGCACAGUGGGCGGAAGCCUGAUGCGGCAACGCCGCGUGCGGGAUAACGGCCUUCGGGUUGUAAACCGCUUUCGCCUGUGACGAGGCGUGAGUGACGGUAAUGGGUAAAGAAGCACCGGCUAACUACGUG
rnacentral:rRNA from 1 species